GACAGCCAGCUGCAGCCUUAGACUGUCCAUUUUGUAGGUGACUGGAUAAGCUGGCAACUCUCUUCUUCUAAGAUUAAAUGAAACCAGCACCAUUCCUCAUCCAAGGAGAGGAAAUUGAUUUCUCCAGGUGAACGACAGUUUGUUGGUGGAACAAUGCUGAUGUUAAGCACAGGAGGAGACAGUGUUCAUAUCGGUUGGUGGAGCAAGGACAGAAUGAACAUGGAGACAGUACUCCUUCUCUCACAACAUAAAAGGGAUUAUUCUUCCAGGUUAAGGUUAAUUUUUGUUUACCUUGAAUAUAGAGGUUUUCAGCACUAGAGUCGCCAGCUGCUCCAGGGUCUUCCAUCGCUCUCGUCUCCCAGGGCCCUGCAGAUGCUGGUGUUGGGCUGGAAGAGUUCACAGCCACUAUCUAUCCAGUGAAGAGAAGAAAGAACAGCAGCUCCUUUUAGAACUUCCUUCAAGUAUGACAUAGACAUAUGGUGUAGACGCGGCUAGGUUGAUGGGAAAAUGUGUCCAUCAUCCUAGCUACUGGUGCUCAGGGAGGUGGA